CCAAAAUCUGGAGUUAACAAUACAACAGAUAAGAAAACAGGGGAUGACAUACAUAUUGGACAGAGACACGCACUUUGAAUGGUCGUCAUAUUCUGGGAAGCCAGUGCAAUAUUCUUUUUUUUUAUAUUUGGAGAAUUGGUUUCAUACUAAUGUAUGCAACCAGGUGGAUGGAAGAAAUCGAUCAAUGUCUGAGUUUUGAUUUUUUGUCUCAGAAAAUUCGUUUUCACUGUCAGAAUCAGCUGAGUUGUUCCUUCCAAAAUGGUAUCAUUGGAAUCAGGCCCAGAGGCAUUCCUGUGAAAAUACAUAGCUGAGGGCUUCUGAUUCUAAUUGAACAUGCCAUCUUGCUAUCCAAUCUCCAGGCCACACAACAAUACAUUGAAUCCUCUUCUAGGAAAAUACGUUGGCUUCUCUUCCAAGAAAAUGUAAGAAGAAAUCCAGCAACGAGAUGGACUUUCCGCGCCAGGACUAGAUACUCUAGCCAUCAUGCCUGGGUUCUUCACGCCGUGCCAAUUGAAGAAGCUUCGACUGAUGUUGGUGAAGGGGGAUUGCUAGCCAUGAUCAUCACAAGGUUUUUAACACAAUCUUCUAAUGUACGACAACUAAACCAUUGUAUGAUGCAGUGUAAAUCAGGGUCUUUCGUAAAAUCAAGCUUUUAUGGUCAAA